UGAAAUGCUGCCAAAUUAUGAAAGGAAAGAUGGAGAGAGAAAAAGGAAACAAAGAGAAAAUAAAAAUUUUGAAAAUAUAGUAGAGGUAAAAUGACUAAAUUGUCUAUGUAUUAAAAGACAAAAAUACCUUUUUUUUAGGUACCUGGUAACCGGUACCUCUCCAAAAUUGACCUGCUAUUGCAGGACACAAUUUUAAAAAAACUAAAUAUGAGCCGUUGAAUACGCGUGAAUGAACGGUAACGAAAAAAAAAAGUAUAGAAGCAUUACUCAUAUAUUACGUCUCUCGAAGUUUCGAAAGUAUGGGGCCUUUCGUGUUUGUAAGUUAUUUUUGAUGAUAGGAUAUUCUAUUUGACGAUCGGCUUCGUUAGACAUAAUCUACAUUAUUAUUGAAACUAUUUAGAAACCAAAUUUCAUAAUUUUUUGACAUCAUUUACCAAGCGAUCAUAGGGUCUCAAAAAUGACUAUUUUAACGAUUGAUGCGGCACAUUUUUAAGUUCAACGGUAUAGAAGUAUUCAAAUUAUAUGAAAAUUUAAUAAAAAAUUGUAACAUCAAGAGUAAGAACAAUACUUUCGAUUUGAAAUUUGAGUUCUUUACCUCUAUUUUUAUGAGAUUUUUAUUUUCAGUGUUCAUUUUGAAGCUACUUGUUCACUAGGUAAACGAAGUCAAAAAAUUAUGAAAUUUGGUUUCUAGAUAGUUCCAAUAGCGUAGAUCAUGUCUAAUGGAACCAAUCGCUAAAUCGGUUGAAAUUUGGUUUCUAGAUAGUUCCAAUAGCGUAGAUCAUAUCUAACGGAAUCAAUCACUAAAUCGGUUGUCCUAUUAUUGAAAACAACUUAUAAGAAAGAAAGUCUCCGUACUUUCGAAAGCAUAUGAGUCUCUCUCUCUCUCCCUCUCUCUCUCUCUCUCCCUAUAAUUUUAUACGAUAGUCUCUCUAC
rnacentral:lncRNA from 1 species